GACGAACCGUGCGAACGUUGUUCGGAAUCACUGGGCUUAAAGGGCGCGUAGGCGGGUGCCCCAGUCUGUGGUGAAAUCCCCCCGGCUUAACCGGGGAACGGCCGCGGAUACUGGGCACCUCGAGGGGGGUAGGGGCGUGCGGAACACUAGGUGGAGCGGUGAAAUGCGUUGAUAUCUAGUGGAACUCCGGUGGCGAAAGCGGCGCGCUGGACCCCAUCUGACGCUGAGGCGCGAAAGCCAGGGGAGCCGAACGGG
rnacentral:rRNA from 1 species